GCAAGUCGAACGGAGAUUUUAUUUCGGUAGAAUUCUUAGUGGCGAACGGGUGAGUAACGCGUAGGCAACCUGCCCUUUAGACGGGGACGACAUUCCGAAAGGAGUGCUAAUACCGGAUGUGAUCAUCUUGCCGCAUGGCAGGAUGAAGAAAGAUGGCCUCUACAAGUAAGCUAUCGCUAAAGGAUGGGCCUGCGUCUGAUUAGCUAGUUGGUAGUGUAACGGACUACCAAGGCGAUGAUCAGUAGCCGGUCUGAGAGGAUGAACGGCCACAUUGGGACUGAGACACGGCCCAAACUCCUACGGGAGGCAGCAGUGGGGAAUCUUCCGCAAUGGACGAAAGUCUGACGGAGCAACGCCGCGUGAGUGAUGAAGGAUUUCGGUCUGUAAAGCUCUGUUGUUUAUGACGAAUGUGCAGUGUGUGAACAAUGCAUUGCAAUGACGGUAGUAAACGAGGAAGCCACGGCUAACUACGUGCCAGCAGCCGCGGUAAUACGUAGGUGGCGAGCGUUGUCCGGAAUUAUUGGGCGUAAAGAGCAUGUAGGCGGCUUAAUAAGUCGAGCGUGAAAAUGCGGGGCUCAACCCCGUAUGGCGCUGGAAACUGUUAGGCUUGAGUGCAGGAGAGGAAAGGGGAAUUCCCAGUGUAGCGGUGAAAUGCGUAGAUAUUGGGAGGAACACCAGUGGCGAAGGCGCCUUUCUGGACUGUGUCUGACGCUGAGAUGCGAAAGCCAGGGUAGCGAACGGGAUUAGAUACCCUGGUAGUCCACGCCGUAAACGAUGUCUACUUGGAGGUUGUGCCCUAG
rnacentral:rRNA from 1 species